rnacentral:tRNA from 1 species
CAGAAAAUAGUUUAGUUAAAAUUUUAAUUUUGGAGAUUAAAGAUAAAGGUAUUUCUUUUUUUCUGA